rnacentral:rRNA from 1 species
UUCCUACGGGGUGCAGCAGUGGGGAAUAUUGCGCAAUGGGGGAAACCCUGAUGCAGCGACGCCGCGUGAGUGAAGAAGUAUUUCGGUAUGUAAAGCUCUAUCAGCAGGAACGAGACAAGACGGUACCUGAGUAAGAAGCCCCGGCUAACUACGUGCCAGCAGCCGCGGUAAUACGUAGGGGGCAAGCGUUAUCCGGAUUUACUGGGUGUAAAGGGAGCGUAGACGGCGAUGCAAGUCUGAAGUGAAAGCCCGGGGCUCAACCCCGGGACUGCUUUGGAAACUGUAUGGCUGGAGUGCUGGAGAGG